rnacentral:rRNA from 1 species
GACGAACGCUGGCGGCGUGCUUAACACAUGCAAGUCGAGCGAUGAAGUUCCUUCGGGAAUGGAUUAGCGGCGGACGGGUGAGUAACACGUGGGUAACCUGCCUCAUAGAGGGGAAUAGCCUUUCGAAAGGAAGAUUAAUACCGCAUAAGAUUGUAGUAUCGCAUGAUACAGAAAUUAAAGGAGUAAUCCGCUAUGAGAUGGACCCGCGUCGCAUUAGCUAGUUGGUGAGGUAACGGCUCACCAAGGCGACGAUGCGUAGCCGACCUGAGAGGGGGAUCGGCCACAGUGGGACUGAGACACGGCCCAGACUCCUGCGGGAGGCAGCAGUGGGGAAUAUUGCAGAAUGGGGGAAACCCUGAUGCAGCAACGCCGCGUGAGUGAUGACGGUCUUCGGAUUGUAAAACUCUGUCUUCAGGGACGAUAAUGACGGUACCUGAGGAGGAAGCCACGGCUAACUACGUGCCAGCCGCCGCCGUAA